rnacentral:misc_RNA from 1 species
AAGACUAUAGACCUGCGGAGUACCUGCGGAGGGAUCAUCAGUGAAUUCUUUCACUAUUACACACACCCUUAUGUGCACGAUGGGGGGAGGGUUUUCUCCCCCCUUUUUUAAACAACCCCUUUUCACUUUUUGUUAAAACAUACCAAUACACAUAACCUAAGACAACUUUCAACAACGGAUCUCU